GAGACCUUGCAGUGACUUUGUUUUCC
rnacentral:piRNA from 1 species